UACAGAGGUCUCAAGCGUUGUUCGGAUUCAUUGGGCGUAAAGGGUGCGUAGGUGGCGCUGUAAGUCGGGUGUGAAAUUUCGGAGCUUAACUCCGAAACUGCAUUCGAUACUGCCGUGCUUGAGGACUGGAGAGGAGACUGGAAUUUACGGUGUAGCAGUGAAAUGCGUUGAUAUCCUAAGGAACACCGGUGGCGAAAGCGGCUCACUGGAUCUCUUCUGACGCUGAGGCACGAAAGCUAGGGUAGCGAACGGG
rnacentral:rRNA from 1 species